ensembl:misc_RNA Metazoa_SRP Metazoan signal recognition particle RNA
GCCAGGCGUGGUGGUGCUCGCCUGUAAUCCCAGCUACUUGGGAGGCUGAGGCAGGAGAAUUGUUUGAACCCAGGAGGCGGAGGUUGUAGUGAGUCGAGAUCACCCCACUGCACUCCAGCCUGGGCGACAGAGCAAGACUCUGCCUCAA